GACGAACGCUGGCGGCGUGCCUAAUACAUGCAAGUAGGACGCAGUUGCGAACGGGUGAGUAACGCGUAGGUAACUCCCUAUUUGAGGGGGAUCACUAUUGGAAACGAUAGCUAAUACCGCAUACUAGUAGAUGGACCUGCGUUGUAUUCGCUAGUAGGUAGGGUAAUGGGCUACCUAGGCAACGAUACAGAGCCGACCUGAGGGGGUGAGCGGCCAAACUGGGACUUGGACACGGGCCAGACUCCUACGGGGGGCAGCAGUAGGGAAACUUCGGCAAUGGGGGGAACCCUGACCGAGCAACGCCGCGUGAGUGAAGAAGGUUUUCGGAUCGUAAAGCUCUGUUGUUAAGGAAGCGGUACUUGACCAGAAAGGAACGGCUAACUACGUGCCAGCAGCCGCGGUAAUUC
rnacentral:rRNA from 1 species